rnacentral:RNase_P_RNA from 2 species
GGAGUUGGCUAGGCAGUCGCUCCGCCUAGCGGCGGGGAGGAAAGUCCGGGCUCCACAGGGCAGGAUGCCAGGUAACGCCUGGGCGGCGCGAGCCGACGGAAAGUGCCACAGAAAACAGACCGCCGAUGGUCCUUUCGGGGAUACAGGUAAGGGUGAAAAGGUGCGGUAAGAGCGCACCGCGCGGGUGGCAACAUGCCGCGGCACGGUAAACCCCAUCCGGAGCAAGACCAAAUAGGGACGCCAUGAUGUGGCCCGCAUCGCGUCCGGGUAGGUCGCUUGAGGCGUGCGGCGACGUACGCCCCAGAUGAAUGGCUGCCCCCGACAGAACCCGGCUUAUCGGCCGACUCCCCAC